GCACAGCGGUAACCUUGCAACCUGUCCGUCCUGAGCCGAUAUAAAGGCCGCCUCGACCUGUUCCCCAGCACUUACGCUUACGCUGUCGCCGUCGCCAUGAAGCUGUCCUUGGUAUUGGUGGCGCUGGCCCUCCUGUGGUGCUCCGCUGAGGCCAUGCCUGGCCCCUCUGCUCUGCCCGACGCUGCUGCCGUGGCCUCUCCUGACGCAGCUCCUGACGCUGCUGCCGAUCCUGAAGCCUGGAGACGCUAUGGCUAUGGCGGAGGAUACCACAGACCGACCCACUCGAUCCUUGACUUCGGUAACCACCACCACCACAUAAUAUGUGGUCAUGGUCACUGCCACGACAUACCCCAUUAUCACUGAGAUAACGUUCUGUCUCACCUUGUGCGAUGGCGAAGUAAGUUCACUUUUACAGAGCCAUGGUGCUCAAUAUAUAUAUAUAUAUAUAUAUAUAUAUAUAUAUAUAUAUAUAUAUAUAUAAUAUAUAUAUAUAUAUAUAUAUAUUUACACAGCUAUUCCAAUCCUCUACAUAUUGUAAGAGUAAAUACAAAAGGAAUGUUCAAUAUCGACCCAUAUAUGUAUGUUCAGACCCAAUAUUUCAUAAAUCUGUUGUAAGAAAUGAACCGCAAAACCUACAAUACAAUUCACUUCAAGUUCACCUUCACUGAACUGAAGCAGAAAAUAUUCGCUUCAUCUAAACAUUUCCAAGAAAUUCCUGGCGCAGGAAACCGCUUCCGACUGCUUCAUCACAGGACGCAAACAGUCACAACAUACAGACGGAGCCAAUAAAUCGAGCAGAUGAGU